UCUUUUGUAACUGAAACAACAUUAAUGUAUAUCAAUAUUUAUAACAAGCAGCUAUUAUGAUACUAUUAAUAGUUUGGUGCACUGUUGAACUGAUGAAGACUGAUGGUUCUAUCAAGAAAGAGUAUCAUGUGAAGUCAAAUUAUUUAGAAACAGAAUUGGGAGAAAAAGUCACUGAAAGAGAUUUGUUCUAUGGUAAUCAUCUUAUAUGGAAGUGUAAAGGAGCUUGUUAUGAAGUUUCAAUAUGUGGAACACAUAGAGAAAAGCCAUUAACUGCUAAGAAUGUUCCUAGUGAAUCUGAUGUUGAGGAACAGUCUGAUGUAGAGGCAUAGCAAACACAAAAAAAGAAGAAAAUUGUCGGAGUCCUUCAAGAGCAUGACCAUUCUGCCACUUCUUCUAAGGAAUGCUCCCAGGGUAGUGAACAAGCUAGUCAAAGAUCAUUUACUUUGACUCAAAUCCCAUUAACUUAAUUUCAAUCAUUUGUUACAGUAUCAGAAGAUGACAGUGAAGCUCACGAUAUCUCAGUUAACUCUGAGCUUGAAAGUCCAACAAGAACGGUGAAGUCCCCAUUAUCACAAGGAUCUUCAGAAAAUUUUCCCUCACCUUUUUCACAAUUAAAUAUUUCUCCUCACACUACUGAAGUAAGAAUUUAUUUAUGUCACAAUGCUUCAC